rnacentral:rRNA from 1 species
CACGUAGGGUGCGAGCGUUGUCCGGAAUUAUUGGGCGUAAAGAGCUCGUAGGCGGUGUGUCGCGUCGGCCGUGAAAACCUGCAGCUUAACUGUGGGCUUGCGGUCGAUACGGGCAUCACUGGAGUUCGGCAGGGGAGACUGGAAUUCCUGGUGUAGCGGUGAAAUGCGCAGAUAUCAGGAGGAACACCCGUAGCGAAGGCGGCACUCUGGGCCGGAACUGACGCUGAGGAGCGAAAGCGUGGGGAGCGAACAGG